GACAGAGGGUGCAGACGUUGUUCGGAAUUACUGGGCGUAAAGCGUGUGUAGGCGGUGAGGUAAGUCGGAUGUGAAAAGCCCCAGGGCUCAACCCUGGAAGUGCACUCGAUACUGCUUCGCUUGAGUACUGGAGAGGUCGGUGGAAUUCUCGGUGUAGAGGUGAAAUUCGUAGAUAUCGAGAGGAACAUCUGUGGCGAAGGCGGCCGACUGGACAGAUACUGACGCUGAGACACGAAAAGUGUGGGGGAGCAAAACAGG
rnacentral:rRNA from 1 species